GUCCAGAUUGGAUCCAGCCUAUCCUCCUCCUUUUCUCCUCCUCUCAGCCCUCAAAUUAUUCGUCGUUCAAGAAAUGGCAAUGGCCAGCAGCAUCGCCAGACGAAAGGCCGCCUCGCCUUUUCUGUCCCCCGAAAAUAUCAAGUCCUGCUAUUCUUUUUUUCUCACCACCAGAGGCUUCGCUUCCGCCUCUGAUGACAACGACGUCGUCGUCAUCGGUGGUGGACCCGGCGGAUAUGUCGCCGCCAUCAAAGCUGCCCAGCUCGGUCUCAAAACCACCUGCAUCGAGAAACGUGGCUCUCUCGGCGGCACCUGUCUCAACGUCGGUUGUAUCCCUUCCAAGGUACCUCCUCCUCCUCCUCCUCCUAUGUUUUCCCCUUUUUUGGGUUUCUUCUCUCUCCCUCUUUCUUUACAUGGCUUCUGCUUCUUCUUCUUUUUUCCAUUUGUUUUUUUUUUCUCUCAAAGACUUUUAUAGGAUUCCACCAAAUCUAUUUAUUUUUGUUAUUUAUUUGUCUCUUCAACCGUUCAAUUGUUUUUUCGUUUUUCCUUUUUUUGUGGGUGGGGGGGGGGGAAUUUUGAUUAGCUGAGCUUAUGAUAGAUUGAUGAGGCUGUGAAUUCUGAUUUAUUUCUGUUGUUAUAAUAUCUUUUCUUUUUCUAAUUUAAUGAAUGCAAUUUCGAAUUGAGCUGCUCUUUCUUUCUCUUUUCUUUUCUUUUCUUUUAAGUUCUUCCUAAGUGAGGUUGAAGUUGGUGGUGAACUGCUGAAAUUUUUAUGGAGCUUUGAAUACUUUGAAUUUGAUUUCGAUGAACCUGUGCAUUUCAGAGAACAAUUCACCUUGGGUGUACCUCAAGUAUUACUAUCUAUGUCACUAUGUGACUUGACUGCUGAUUCUGAUUUUUUUUCAAACUAAGCAAUAACUGAUAUUAAAUUGCUGAAAUGUCCGAAAAGGGAAAAGGGAAAGGUCGAACUUAUAUUGCAGAUACACUUGACGAUUUAUAUCAGUGAUUAGUGUGCAAUUAUAGAGUGUAAAGGGUUUCUUUUGUGCUUUCUCAGUGCCACUAGGGCGAAGUAUGCUCUUCAUAUUCACAACUUCAUUUGCAACGUACAAGUUACUGUAUCUUAGAGGGGUGUUGUAUGUUGUUGCAAUGAUUUUUUAUUGUACGUGCUGUUAAACUAAUUAGCUUGUGCAAUGUGGUGGAAAUUAGGCAUUCUCCUAUUAAGGCUCAUCUAUGAGAAACAUGGCAAUCUAGAUGUUCUUGAUUGGUUUGAGGUAGUUCUUCCUCCAGUAAUAAUCACCUUGUGAUUCGGUAGGAUAUCUGAGCUGCAUCUAUAUUCUUACUGAUUUGGCUCUUUCUUAGCAUUCCACUUAAAAAAAAAAAAACUCAUCGUCUUAAUAUUCUUAUAAGUCUCUGCCUGUGAAAUCUCUGCCUGUGAAAUACGUGGGAAAUUUCCAAAGGUUGUCGCUGAGUGUUUUAGGUUUUCACAUUAUCUCGUUUGCUAUUCAUGUCUUUGAAUUCAAAUUUGUUUUUCUCGAAAUGAUUGCAGGGCCAUCCUUUACAAUAAUUGAAUAAUCAUCAAGCGGACUCUCGCUCAUGGCUAUUUUUGACAGCAUAAAUGUUGCUUUACUUUCCGCCCUUGCCCAUCUGGUUGAUAAUUUUGCUAAAUUUUGAGAUAGCUGACCAGUUUUGCACUUUACCUACCAUAACUGGUACCUUAUUCUGGAUUUGCUGCUGAACUUUAGCAAAUUUAUCCUUGUUGUACAGGCACUUCUUCAUUCGUCACACAUGUUCCAUGAAGCCAAGCAUUCUUUUGCCAGUCAUGGAGUGAAACUCUCUUCUGUUGAAGUUGAUCUACCAGCUAUGUUGGCCCAGAAAGAUAAAGCUGUGUCUAACUUGACCCGAGGUAUUGAAGGUCUGUUCAAGAAGAACAAAGUCAACUAUGUUAAGGGUUAUGGCAAAUUUCUCUCCCCUUCAGAGGUUUCUGUUGACACCAUUGAAGGUGGUAAUACUGUUGUGAAAGGGAAGAAUAUAAUAAUCGCCACUGGUUCUGAUGUCAAGAGUCUACCCGGGGUAGCCAUUGAUGAGCAGAGAAUUGUGUCAUCAACUGGUGCUUUGUCCUUGUCAGAAGUCCCCAAGAAACUGGUUGUUAUUGGAGCUGGGUAUAUUGGCCUUGAAAUGGGCUCUGUUUGGGGGCGUCUUGGCUCUGAGGUAACUGUUGUUGAAUUUGCACCUGAUAUUGUUCCAACCAUGGACGGCGAAAUCCGCAAACAAUUCCAGCGUGCCCUUGAGAAACAGAAGAUGAAAUUUAUGCUCAAAACCAAGGUUGUAUCAGUUGACACUGCUGGGGAGACAGUGAAGUUGACGCUUGAGUC
rnacentral:lncRNA from 1 species